ensembl:snRNA U5 U5 spliceosomal RNA
UGUCUCUGGUUUCUCUUCAUAUCGCAUAAAUCUUUCGCCUUUUACUAAAGAUUUCCGUGGAGAGGAGCGACUCUGAGUUUUGAACCAAUUUUUUAGCGGUCUUGCGCUUUCAGCAAGGC